CAGCAGCCGCGGGAAUACAGAGGGUGCGAGCGUUAAUCGGAUUUACUGGGCGUAAAGCGUGCGUAGGCGGCUUCUUAAGUCGGAUGUGAAAUCCCUGAGCUUAACCUGGGAACUGCAUUUGAAACUGGCAGGCUAGAGUCUUGUAGAGGGGGGUAGAAUUCCAGGUGUAGCGGUGAAAUGCGUAGAUAUGCGGAGGAACACCGAUGGCGAAGGCAGCCCCCUGGGCCAAUACUGACGCUCAUGCACGAAAGCGUGGGGAGCAAACAGGAUUAGAUACCCGGGUAGUCCCUGUCUCUUAUAC
rnacentral:rRNA from 1 species